ACGGGAGGCAGCAGUGGGGAAUAUUGCACAAUGGGCGCAAGCCUGAUGCAGCGAUGCCGCGUGAGGGAAGAAGGUUUUCGGAUUGUAAACCUCUGUCAACAGGGACGAAAAUGACGGUACCUGCAGAAGAAGCUCCGGCUAACUACGUGCCAGCAGCCGCGGUAAUACGUAGGGAGCGAGCGUUAUCCGGAUUCAUUGGGCGUAAAGCGCGCGUAGGCGGCUUGCCAAGCGGAACCUCUAACCCGAGGGCUCAACCCCCGGCCGGGUUCCGAACUGGCAGGCUCGAGUGCGGUAGGGGCAAGUGGAAUUCCAUGUGUAGCGGUGGAAUGCGCAGAUAUAUGGAAGAACACCGAUGGCGAAGGCAGCUUGCUGGGCCGUCACUGACGCUGAGGUGCGAAAGCGUGGGUAGCGAACAGGAUUAGAUACCCUGGUA
rnacentral:rRNA from 1 species